UACGUAGGGGGCAAGCGUUGUCCGGAAUCAUUGGGCGUAAAGAGCGUGUAGGCGGCUUGGUAAGUCCGCUGUGAAAGUCCAGGGCUCAACCCUGGAAAGCCGGUGGAAACUGUCAAGCUUGAGUCCGGAAGAGGCGAGUGGAAUUCCUGGUGUAGCGGUGGAAUGCGUAGAGAUCCGGAAGAACACCAGUGGCGAAGGCGGCCCGCUGGGCAGUGGCUGACGCUGAGGCGCGACAGCGUGGGGAGCAAACAGG
rnacentral:rRNA from 1 species